CCUACGGGAGGCUGCAGUGAGGAAUAUUGGUCAAUGGCCGGAAGGCUGAACCAGCCAAGCCGCGUGAAGGACGAAGGUGCUAAGCAUUGUAAACUUCUUUUGUCAAGGGACAAAAUCAGGCUCGAGAGCCUGACCGAGGGUACUUGAAGAAACAGCAUCGGCUAACUCCGUGCCAGCAGCCGCGGUAAUACGGAGGAUGCGAGCGUUAUCCGGAUUUAUUGGGUGUAAAGGGUGCGUAGUUGGGUUGUUAAGUCAGUUGUGAAAGUUUGCGGCUCAACCGUAAAAGUGCAAUUGAUACUGGCAGGCUGGAGUACAGUUGAGGUAGGCGGAAUUCGUGGUGUAGCGGUGAAAUGCAUAGAUAUCACGAAGAACACCGAUGGCGAAGGCAGCUUACUAAACUGCCACUGACAUUGAUGCUCGAAAGUGUGGGUAUCAAACAGGAUUAGAUACCCCAGUAGUC
rnacentral:rRNA from 1 species